rnacentral:rRNA from 1 species
UCACCUACGGGGGGCAGCAGUGGGGAAUAUUGGACAAUGGGGGGAGCCCUGAUCCAGCGACGCCGCGUGAGUGAAGAAGUAUUUCGGUAUGUAAAGCUCUAUCAGCAGGGAAGAAAGAAAUGACGGUACCUGACUAAGAAGCCCCGGCUAACUACGUGCCAGCAGCCGCGGUAAUACGUAGGGGGCAAGCGUUAUCCGGAUUUACUGGGCGUAAAGAGGGAGCAGGCGGCAGCA